UUUAUGGUUUGUUUAUGGGUUUUAUUAGAGAGGAGGCAACUUUACAGAGAAUGUUACUAAAAAAUUAUCCAGUUGUAUUGUCCAGCUUAAAUUUCUAUGCAAAAUACACAGUUAACCCAUUGAGCCCCAGUGCGCCCUACUUAUUUUCUCACUUGUCUAAUGCCAGACGAUUUUACUUGUGAAUAUAGGGAAGCUCUGCAGCUUAAUAAAACAAAGUGAAUAAUACA